UGAGGAAUACGGGCGUGGGAACUUGUGAGCUGUCCCUGAGGAAAGAACGGAGAACCAGCCGCCGUCAGCCUGCGGGAGGCGAGCCGUGGCUCAGGAAGUUCGUCGAUGUUCUAAUCCGUGGAACAGGAAAAACACUUUCCUGGUUGGUAGUAGUAACUACGAGGUGGAGGGGUGGAAGUGCUCUGCUACCUGUAGGCACUCCAUUGUACCAUCAGCGAGGUCGGGUCUCCUGGGAUCUCAGCCACCGUGGGAAUGGGCCAUCGCCGAUGAGCAGGAGAUAGAAUUCCUGAUGCAGCCAAUUAAAAGAUUCACGGUGCUUGAGGAGGUCAAUGAUAGCGAUGUCCCGAUGGCGCCGCUGCAUUAGCCCGUCGCCGGCGUCGGCGAGCUGCAGCACGCGGCGGCCCCAGAGCUGAGCAGGGACGGACAAAUCUGUGCGACCCAAGCAGUGGUGGCGGCAGACUGGCAGAAAGGGAAAUUUCACCCCAAAAGGCUUGAUUAAUGAACCUAGAAAAUCCCUCGAAUUGGAUCCCACUAAGCGUCCGAGCUCUCCACCGGCAAGAUGAACCCACAGUUUACUGGAUGGGCUCGUAGGUACCAAAUUCGAAAGAAGCAGUACAAGUGUACAGCUAGAGAAGUUGCCGAAACAAUUGUAGCUAUUGAAACAGUGACCCAAGGUGCUGUAGCUCAAGCUAACUAGCAUGCAAGGCCGACAAUUGUGGCGUCAUGGCAACAGAUGUGUCAACAGAAAGAAUUGAAAAUGAUGGAAGAGAGUCCAGUUCUUGAGGACUGUGCAACACAUUCCAGCAUCAGACAGCUCCGAUGACAUGAAGAUAAGAGCGUCGAUGAGGCACAAAUACCAGUGUCUGCAUUCCAGAAUGAUACAUCAUCUGCUGGUAAUGGGGGGAUUUUUGCAAUAGAUAUGUGGAAGUAGAUCUACGGGUUAAUUGCUCUAACAAGGAAUAUGACUGAUGAUGACGCAAUGCUUGAUAGAUAAUCGAAGCACAGAUUGUCGGAGGGGAACAGGUCUAGUGUCCGAACUGAUGUCGAGGAACCUAAGGUUGCAAGUUGGUAUGGUGAGGACAACUGUGUAAGGUGAUAUGGGGGAUAAAUUCUGAUGGAAAGCCGGUUUUGAAGCAUGAAGAGCCAAAUGCAGGAGAGGUGAUGAUUUUCUAUGACAAAAUCCUGUCAUGUACCAACAUGGAUCUUAGCAAGAUAUGGUUCAAGCACAUGGUUCCAACAUUCGCUUUGCUGACGGGAGAGGACUACAUCAAGGAGUUUGGACAAUUACAUUAGUCUUGGUUAACAACUUAAACCGAUCCGGCAUCACUAUCUCAGGAGGUCAAUUGCAUAUGAGGUGAUCUCGAUGAGAGGUAACAUGGGUGAGUUGCCAUGAGAGGUAACAUGGGUGAGUUGCCCGACUUCAUGAUGGAGAAAGUCUUCUUCUGAUGUGGGAGUGCUGAUCUGGUACCAUGUGGUUGCUUUUGGGUGGGACCUUUUUUUGUGCGAGUGAAUUAAUGUGCUUCUAUUACUCAGUGAUAAGCGUUUGGUUGGAACCUGAAGCUGUGCCUACUGUUUGCGGGCGGUCGGCGGUGAUCUUGUAGAAGGAGGUCAAAGACAGAGGGCUUGGUUUCCUUGGUGGCGGAUCAACGUAUUAAUUGCAGCAACGUGGCAGUGGGUAGACGGCUAAGAAGGUAUAGGAUGUCGGUCUAGCACGUCAUAUUUUAUCUGGGCCGGAAAGUACUUGACGGGCGCAGGUGUAAUGAAUGCGACGCAGAGGUGGGCCAUCGCUCAAAGAAAUAAUCAUGUAGGACUCCCUAUACGAGCUAAAAUACAAGCGGGAGUGUGAAUCUGGAAGAAAGCAGACGGAUGUGAUAAAGUGUGCAGGUGUGCUCGGGCUCAUAAGAGCACUUCCGCUACUGUAAUCAACUAAUCAGUAGUAUUCCCUCCGUUUGGAAUUAUUUGUCACAAUGAUGAAUGUAUCUACAACUGUAUCUACAACUAAAAUACAUCUAGAUACAUUUAUUUC